GACGAACGCUGGCGGCGUGCUUAACACAUGCAAGUCGAACGGUGAUGCAGAGCUUGCUCUGCGGAUCAGUGGCGAACGGGUGAGUAACACGUGAGUAACCUGCCCUUGACUCUGGGAUAAGCGUUGGAAACGACGUCUAAUACCGGAUACGACCCGUGGAGGCAUCUCCUGCGGGUGGAAAGAAUUUUGGUUGAGGAUGGACUCGCGGCCUAUCAGCUUGUUGGUGAGGUAACGGCUCACCAAGGCGACGACGGGUAGCCGGCCUGAGAGGGUGACCGGCCACACUGGGACUGAGACACGGCCCAGACUCCUACGGGAGGCAGCAGUGGGGAAUAUUGCACAAUGGGCGAAAGCCUGAUGCAGCAACGCCGCGUGAGGGAUGACGGCCUUCGGGUUGUAAACCUCUUUUGGCAGGGAAGAAGCGAAAGUGACGAUACCUGCAGAAAAAGCACCGGCUAACUACGUGCCAGCAGCCGCGGUAAUACGUAGGGUGCAAGCGUUGUACGGAAUUAUUGGGCGUAAAGAGCUCGUAGGCGGUUUGUCGCGUCUGCUGUGAAAACGCGAGGCUCAACCUCGCGCCUGCAGUGGGUACGGGCAGACUAGAGUGCGGUAGGGGAGAUUGGAAUUCCUGGUGUAGCGGUGGAAUGCGCAGAUAUCAGGAGGAACACCGAUGGCGAAGGCAGAUCUCUGGGCCGUUACUGACGCUGAGGAGCGAAAGCGUGGGGAGCGAACAGGAUUAGAUACCCUGGUAGUCCACGCCGUAAACGUUGGGAACUAGAUGUGGGGUCCAUUCCACGGAUUCCGUGUCGCAGCUAACGCAUUAAGUUCCCCGCCUGGGGAGUACGGCCGCAAGGCUAAAACUCAAAGGAAUUGACGGGGGCCCGCACAAGCGGCGGAGCAUGCGGAUUAAUUCGAUGCAACGCGAAGAACCUUACCAAGGCUUGACAUGCACCUGAAAAGGCUGGAAACAGUCUCCUCGCAAGACAGGUGCACAGGUGGUGCAUGGUUGUCGUCAGCUCGUGUCGUGAGAUGUUGGGUUAAGUCCCGCAACGAGCGCAACCCUCGUUCUAUGUUGCCAGCGCGUAAUGGCGGGAACUCAUAGGAGACUGCCGGGGUCAACUCGGAGGAAGGUGGGGAUGACGUCAAAUCAUCAUGCCCCUUAUGUCUUGGGCUUCACGCAUGCUACAAUGGCCGGUACAAAGGGCUGCAAUACCGUAAGGUGGAGCGAAUCCCAAAAAGCCGGUCUCAGUUCGGAUUGAGGUCUGCAACUCGACCUCAUGAAGUCGGAGUCGCUAGUAAUCGCAGAUCAGCAACGCUGCGGUGAAUACGUUCCCGGGCCU
rnacentral:rRNA from 1 species